GACGAACGCUGGCGGCGUGCUUAACACAUGCAAGUCGAACGGAAAGGCCCUGCUUGCAGGGUACUCGAGUGGCGAACGGGUGAGUAACACGUGGGUGAUCUGCCCUGCACUUCGGGAUAAGCCUGGGAAACUGGGUCUAAUACCGGAUAGGAGCCAUUUUUAGUGUGAUGGUUGGAAAGUUUUUUCGGUGUAGGAUGAGCUCGCGGCCUAUCAGCUUGUUGGUGGGGUAAUGGCCUACCAAGGCGGCGACGGGUAGCCGGCCUGGGAGGGUGGACGGCCACAGUGGGACUGAGAUACGGCCCAGACUCCUACGGGAGGCAGCAGGGGGGAAUAUUGCACAAUGGGCGCAAGCCUGAUGCAGCGACGCCGCGUGGGGGAUGACGGCCUUCGGGUUGUAAACUCCUUUCGCUAGGGACGAAGCUUUUUGUGACGGUACCUAGAGAAGAAGCACCGGCUAACUACGUG
rnacentral:rRNA from 1 species